UGCGUAGGUGGGUUGGUAAGUCAGUGGUGAAAUCCCCGAGCUUAACUUGGGAACUGCCAUUGAUACUAUUAAUCUUGAAUACCGUGGAGGUCAGCGGAAUAUGUCAUGUAGCGGUGAAAUGCUUAGAUAUGACAUAGAACACCAAUUGCGAAGGCAGCUGGCUACGCGAAUAUUGACACUGAUGCACGAAAGCGUGGGGAUCAAACAGGAUUAGAUACCCUGGUAGUCCACGCCCUAAACUAUGGAUACUCGACAUCAGCGAUACACUGUUGGUGUCUGAGCGAAAGCAUUAAGUAUCCCACCUGGGAAGUACGGUCGCAAGAUUGAA
rnacentral:rRNA from 1 species